UACGUAGGGACCGAGCGUUGUCCGGAAUCAUUGGGCGUAAAGAGCGUGUAGGCGGCCACUUAAGUCCUGCGUGAAAUCUUGCGGCUCAACCGCAAGCGGUCGUGGGAAACUGGGUGGCUAGAGUGCGGGAGAGGAGAGUGGAAUUCCUGGUGUAGCGGUGGAAUGCGCAGAUAUCAGGAAGAACACCGGUGGCGAAGGCGGCGCUCUGGACCGAGACUGACGCUGAGGCGCGAAAGCGUGGGGAGCAAACAGG
rnacentral:rRNA from 1 species